AUUGAACGCUGGCGGCAUGCCUUACACAUGCAAGUCGAACGGUAACGCGGGGCAACCUGGCGACGAGUGGCGAACGGGUGAGUAAUGCAUCGGAACGUGCCCAGUAGUGGGGGAUAGCCCGGCGAAAGCCGGAUUAAUACCGCAUACGACCUACGGGUGAAAGGGGGGGAUCGCAAGACCUCUCGCUAUUGGAGCGGCCGAUGUCAGAUUAGGUAGUUGGUGGGGUAAAGGCCCACCAAGCCUUCGAUCUGUAGCUGGUCUGAGAGGACGACCAGCCACACUGGGACUGAGACACGGCCCAGACUCCUACGGGAGGCAGCAGUGGGGAAUUUUGGACAAUGGGCGCAAGCCUGAUCCAGCCAUGCCGCGUGCGGGAAGAAGGCCUUCGGGUUGUAAACCGCUUUUGUCAGGGAAGAAACGCUCUGGGCUAAUACCUCGGGGUAAUGACGGUACCUGAAGAAUAAGCACCGGCUAACUACGUGCCAGCAGCCGCAGUAA
rnacentral:rRNA from 1 species